CCAGGUGACAUUUGUGGCUGUCCCCAGAUCCCGCUGGCCUGGCCGGUGUCGCGGUUCAGGGGGUGACAGAGAUGACACCAGGAGGUGACACAGGUGACAGGGAGGUGACACAGGUGACACAGGUGACACAGGUGACCCAGGUGACGUUUGUCCCUGUCCCCAGAUCCCGCUGGCCUGGCUGGUGUCGCGGUUCCUGCGCGGUGACUAUGGCAAUGGUGUCACGGUUCAGGGGGUGACAGGGGGUGACAGGGAGGUGACACAGGUGACACAGGUGACACAGGUGACAGGGAGGUGACCCAGGUGACACAGGUGACCCAGGUGACGUUUGUCCCCGUCCCCAGAUCCCGCUGGCCUGGCUGGUGUCGCGGUUCCUGCGCGGUCACUACGGCAACGCCGCCGUGUGGAUGUCGCUGAUCCUGGGCCAGCCCAUCGCCGUGCUCAUGUACGUGCACGACUACUACGUGCUCAACUGCGAGGGCACCCCCUGAGCCACCCCCGAACUGCCGGGGGCACCCCAAAAACCGACGGGGGACCCCAAAAACCGACAUGGACACCCCAAAACCACCAUGGACACCCCAAAACCACCAUGGACACCCCAAAACUGCUCAUGUACGUGCACGACUGCUACGUGCUCAACUGCGAGGGCACCCCCUGAGCCACCCCC